GAGAACCACUGAGAUGCGGAGACCUCCCCGGUCCUAGAGCGGAGCAGGAAGUGUCCCAGGGGAGGGAGCCGGAGGGCUUCGGCCUUUCCUUUCCUCAGCGUCCGGCGGGCUCCGGAGGCGGUCAGGCCUGUACGGCCCGCCAACUGGGACUCGACGAGGAGCGGAGCUGUGGUUUUCUGGAUGAGCAGGAGACGGGGUCUUGGCUAGCCAGGGACAGAGUGGCCCUCGCAGAGAACCCGCCUCAGGAAGGACACCCGGGAGACCGGGCUGGAAGGAUGAGGAGCUGCCGCCGUAGACUUCCGCCGCAGGAGAGCUUUGAGGUAGACGCUGAGGAGUUCCAUGCUGUGAGCUCAUUUUAUAAAGGUCUCAAGGGCAAGGACCGUGACUUUGGCUCUGAAGCCUCAAGAUAG
rnacentral:lncRNA from 1 species